AAAGAAAUAAAAAAAGAACCAAAGAAGGAAAGCGAAGUUUGUGCCGUGCAAUAUUCUACAUGUUUAAAAUGUGGUGGCCAGCAUUCAUCUGACUGCAGCAGCUGUCCAGCCUUCAACAAGCGCUGCAACGCAUGUGGAAAAUGGAACCGCUUCUCUAAAUGGUGUAGAUCGAGCAAAACACGCACCUACAACAGACCAGGACAAGGUCCAUCUCAGCCAAACAGAGCACCGCAUACCAUACGCAGGGGAGGACAGACACACAGAAUAAGUGAACUUGAUGCACAGAUUGCAUAUGAACCAGCAGACUUUUUUUUACUGUGAAAGUGUAGAGGUACCAGCUGAUAGAGGAGAGAUAUUUACCAUCCUGUCCACUUCCAACACAGGGAAGCAACUUAAGGUGAAGAUUGACACUGGAGCUCGGUGCAAUGUACUGUCCAUAGGCAUUCUCCAGCAUGUCGACCCAGACGCUCAUGUCGAUCACAGCCAUAUAGUCAACCUGGUUGCAUAUGGCGGUCAGAUCAUAAGGACUUUAGGUGUCACUGAUGUAAACUUCACAUGCGGCACACUGCAGUUCCAUGUUGUUGACAGUGAGGUAAAACCUCUAUUGGGCCUCAGAGAUAGCAUCAAACUAGGCUUGUGCAACUUGGGCCCGAAUGUGCACGUUCUCCAGCAGGGGGUCCCUGAACUCACAGAGUAUAAAGACCUUUUUGACUGCAGCACUAUAGGCAAACUCCCAGUAGUGUACCACAUGCGCCUAGACCCCUCUGUGCACCCUACAAUAUGUGCUCCCAGACGAGUGCCAUUGGCAAUGAAAGACAAAAUAAUCAGUGAACUCAAUAGAAUGACUAAACUGGGAGUCAUUAAGCCAGUUCAGGAGCCCACUGAGUGGGUGUCUUCUAUGGUGGCUGCACGUAAAAAAGAUGGUUCUGUUAGACUGUGUAUUGACCCUGUCCACCUCAACAAAGCCCUCCUCAGACCACGUCAUCCCAUGAAAACAGUUGAACAGGUGAUCGCUGACAUGCCAGGGGCCAAGGUGUUCAGCAUCCUUGAUGCAAAGUGUGGAUUCUGGCAGGUGCCACUCAGUGAGGAGUCAUCAAAGCUGACCACCUUCAUGACCCCGGCGGGCCGAUAUGCCUUCCUCCGAAUGCCCUAUGGAAUUUCCACAGGAAGUGAAGUCUUCCAAAGGUGCAUGGAGCAGCUCUUUGAAGGACAGCCAUGCGCAAUUGUUGUUGACGAUAUUCUUGUUUGGGGCAGCACAAGAGAAGAGCAUGAUCUGCGCCUCCGGCAAGUCAUGGACAGAAUAUACGCCAUAAAUCUUAAGCUCAACCCAGACAAGUGCCGUUUCCGGGUGUCUGAGGUUUCAUAUGUG
rnacentral:lncRNA from 1 species